rnacentral:rRNA from 1 species
CAGCCGCCGCGGGAAUACGAAGGGGGCUAGCGUUGUUCGGAAUUACUGGGCGUAAAGCGCACGUAGGCGGAUCUUUAAGUCAGAGGUGAAAUCCCAAGGCUCAACCUUGGAACUGCCUUUGAUACUGGGGAUCUUGAGUCCGGAAGAGGUGAGUGGAACUGCGAGUGUAGAGGUGAAAUUCGUAGAUAUUCGCAAGAACACCAGUGGCGAAGGCGGCUCACUGGUCCGGUACUGACGCUGAGGUGCGAAAGCGUGGGGAGCAAACAGGAUUAGAUACCCCGGUAGUCCCUGUCUCUUAUAC